UGAAAUUGGGCUGGGGAUUGGGAGGGUUUAAAGUUGAAAUUGGGCUUGAUGUUGGGAGGGUUUAAAGUUGAAAUUGGGUUUGACAUCCAGGAGGUUUUAAAGCUAAAACUGGGCUUGAUAUUGGGAGGGUUUAAAGUUGAAAUUGGGCUUGAUAUUGGGAGGAUUUAAAAUCAGAACUGGGCUGGGGAUUGGGAGAGUUUAAGGUUAAAACUGGGCUUGACAUCCAGGAGGUUUUAGAGUAAAAACUGGGCUGGACAUCAGUAGGUUUGAAAGUUAAAACUGGGCUUGAUAUUGGGAGGUUUUAAAGUUAAAAUUGGGCUUGAUAUCCAGGAGGUUUUAAAGCUAAAACUGGGCUUGAUAUUGGGAGGGUUUAAAGUUGAAAUUGGGCUUGAUAUUGGGAGGGUUUAAAGUCAGAACUGGGCUGAGGAUUGGGAGGGUUUAAGAUUAAAACUGGGCUUGACAUCCGGGAGGUUUUAGAGUAAAAACUGGGCUGGACAUCAGCAGGUUUGAAAGUUAAAACUGGGCUUGAUAUUGGGAGGAUUUAAAGCUGAAAUUUGGUUUGAUAUCCUGGGGGUUUUAGAGUAAAAACUGGGCUGGACAUCAGCAGGUUUGAAAGUUAAAACUGGGCUUGAUAUUGGGAGGAUUUAAAGCUGAAAUUUGGUUUGAUAUCCUGGAGGUUUUAGAGUAAAAACUGGGCUGGACAUCAGCAGGUUUUGAAGUUAAAACUGGGCUUGAUAUUGGGAGGUUUUAAAGCUGAAAUUGGGUUUGACAUCCAGGAGGUUUUAAAGCUGAAACUUGGCUUGACAUCAGCAGGUUUUAAAGUUAAAACUGGGCUUGAUACUGGGAGGUUUUAAAGCUGGAAUUGGGUUUGACAUCCAGGGGGUUUUAAAGCUGGAAUUGGGUUUGACAUCCAGGAGGUUUUAAAGCUGAAAUUGGGUUUGACAUCAGCAGGUUUUAAAGCUGAAAUUUGACCUGACAGUAGUUGUUAUAAAGCCAAAAGGAGCCCUCAAGCCGGGCCUUACCGAGCUCUCUUCUCCCCACAGGGGCGACCACCGGCAGGACCGUCGCGAGAGGCCCUACUGAGCCCUCCCCACCCCC